CAUUGGGCCGCAUAACUAGCCGCGUUGGCAACCCGUCUUAGGAAAACGCCCUCGAGGAGCUCCUUUUUGGUUUUCCUCAUUAUUUUUUUGGGUUUCCCUUUCUUUUUUGCUUAUUUCUUUCUCUCUCCGAAAGAGAGAGUGAAAAAGGGUGGGAAAAUCCAUCGGCGAUUUUGGGGGUCUGCUUGGGUUGUGGGUGCCCAUCUUCAAUCUUUUGCUCCUUUUGCUGUUUCAGUUGGAGAAUUCGAACGUCCAUCAACUUGGAUUUUUGAAAACAUAGAGAUGCGUGAUACAAUCAGUAAAGGACUGAUUCAGAAACUUAUGUGCGAUUUGAUCUAUGCAAACGCAAGGCUUCUCAACAUGAAGUUGAUUGUGAUGAUGGGGAACUGACAUUUUG